rnacentral:rRNA from 1 species
AUUGAACGCUGGCGGCAGGCCUAACACAUGCAAGUCGAGCGGGGUUUUCGGGCCUAGCGGCGGACGGGUGAGUAAUGCGUAGGAAGCUACCCGAUAGAGGGGGAUACCAGUUGGAAACGACUGUUAAUACCGCAUAAUGUCUACGGACCAAAGUGUGGGACCUUCGGGCCACAUGCUAUCGGAUGCGCCUACGUGGGAUUAGCUAGCUGGUGAGGUAAUGGCGCACCAAGGCGACGAUCCCUAGCUGGUUUGAGAGGAGGAUCAGCCACACUGGAACUGAGACACGGUCCAGACCCCGACGGGAGGCGGCAGUGGGGAAUAUUGGACAAUGGGCGCAAGCCUGAUCCAGCCAUGCCGCGUGUGUGAAGAAGGCCUUCGGGUUGUAAAGCACUUUCAGCGGGGAGGAAGGGGUGAGUGUUAAUAGUACUCAUCUUUGACGUUACUCGCAGAAGAAGCACCGGCUAACUCUGUGCCAGCCGCCGCGGUAACAC